rnacentral:misc_RNA from 1 species
UGGUGCGAAUUGAAAUGAAUUGGUGGUAGUUGAUGCUGCAUCAGGUGCUGUACUUGGUAGUGAAUUGAGGUCAUAGUCAGGAUUGUGAGGCAUGAGAAAUCCAUGCUGAGGUAUCUGAAGUAGGCUAUUACAGCUACUCGACUGGCUUGAACUCAAGCAGUGAGUUUGGCUGGGGAAUAGCAAUUCUCCUGAUCUGGAUUCUCUCAAGCUGCUAACUUGGGAAUGGAAAGUUGGAAUCAAAAGCCUUCCUCUGCUGUUCAUACUUCUAUUUGGACUUCUAUCUGGACUGGCAAUAGGAACUGAAUUAUUCAUUGUCAAAAGAUCAACAAA